ensembl:lncRNA
UUAUCUAACAGAUUCCACACCAAAAGAAUCAAGUAAGACUCGGAAGAACAAAGCUGACUCAGAGGGGUUGCAGGAGGGAAAUAGCCUCUAACAAUAAAUUCAAAGAUAAAUGUCAUAGAAAAAAUCAUGGUAGAAAAGCUGACAUUUGCAGCCACUGUCUGUUAGCCAUAACAGACAUAGUAACAUGAUAGAUGUCAUAACUUGGAUUCAUUCAGUCCUUCCAGUUCUGCAAGGAAGAUGUUCUGAAUCCCUGUUUAUAGGCAAGUUAUAUGAGAUACAAAGAGAAUGAAAGAUAAAAGAAGACAAAACACCCAUAAGGUCGCAUGGCCUGGAAAUGGAGGGGCCUGGAUUGGAAUCUGUCUCUAAAUUCUAUGCUCUUGGCAUGAGAGGUGCGGUGAAGUGGAAGAAGAUGAUGUCAAUGCUUCAGGGAAAUUUAUUUUGUUUUCAUCAUUUUUGAGAGAACAGAUCUCCACAAGGGAUGCAGCCUUGAUGUGUUUCACUGGAUUGUAUCCCCAGCGCCUGAAACAGCCAGUUGCUACGAUAUAUGCCCUAUUUGACAGAGCUUUGGUCCAGUGAGCAUCAUCAUGAACAUCAUCAUAUCUUCAAGGUGUCAAGAACAUAACCACCAUUGGCUCAUGUGAGUGGCAAGUCACACUAAUUGCAAGAGCUUCAGGCGUGGCUGGAUCCAGGAGCUCCAGCUAUAUACUUGGGCCAGGAGAGGACUGGAUAGGAAGCCUGGCUGGUGAAUGAUGCUUCUCAGGCAAGACUGAGACAAAUUUGGAGGCUCCUGUGUUGGUGCCCUGUAGCCUGGAGCCAAGCCACCGCAGACCUGGCUCCCCUUCACUUCAGGACUGCUGCAGAAAGCACUGGGUAUUUUUCCACUGGAGGAAGGCUUAGAGUGUAUGUGGUGAUAAAACUCCUCCUUGAAGAUGACUCAGCUGUUCUGAUCUUCUGCCAAAGUCCUAUUCAAGAGAGUUGAAGGAGGCUCCAGACAGGGAAGGUAGACUGCCUGCAGCGGGAAAGUUCUCUGCUAGGAGUGGAAUUGCAGGAUUGUAUCCAAUUUAAAAAGUGGGCAGAGGACCUGAAGAGUAUUUUUCCAAAGAAGACGUGCAGAGAACCAUGCAUGUGCAGCCACAUGAAAAGACGCUCAACCUCAUGAAUCAUCAGGGGAAGCAAAUCAAAACCAUAAUGUGACAUCAUCUCAUACCUGUCAGGAUAGUUAUUGUGGAAAAAAAAGAAACAAGAAAUAACAAGAAUGGCAAGGAUGUGGGAAAAAAGGGAACCUUAGAACAGUGUUGGUGGGAAUGUAAAUUAGUAUAGACACUAUGGAAAACAGUAUGAAGGUUCCCCCAAAAUUAAACAUAGAUCUAUCUAAGUCUUAGGUUAAAGAGGACCCAAACUGGUAGUUAUUAUAAGACCUAAAGGAGAUAAUACACAGAAAUUAAGGUCUAGUGCCUAGCAUGUAGUAAGUUUUCAAUAAAUGUCAGUUGUUGCUUUCACAAAGAAUGUUUUACGGUUGGUAAUAGUUAUUUGUGUCUCAGAAUUUGACCAAUAUAGACCAAUGAAUACAGCCAUUGAGUAUGGGCAUUUAACACAUCCAAUUAAUG